rnacentral:rRNA from 1 species
AGAGUGAACGCUGGCGGCGUGCCUAACACAUGCAAGUCGAGCGAGGUACUAACGGUAGCAAUACUGGAUAGGCCUAGCGGCAGACGGGUGAGUAACACGUAGAUAACCUUCCUCUUAGAGGGGGAUAGCUCGCCGAAAGGCGAGGUAAUACCCCGUACGAUCGCGGACCGGCAUCGGUCUGUGAUGAAACAUCCGCAAGGAUGGCUGAGAGACGGAUCUGCGGCCCAUCAGCUAGUUGGUGA